AAAUUCUCAACCCUCUCAGCUUUUGCUGAAUUGGCUUGGAUUUUGGGAGUUUUUGCAGGCUUCUCAGAAGUCUGCUCUCCUUAAAUGUAUUAGCGGGGGCCCUUGUUGUCUAGCAUUUGGUGUGAUAAUUAUCUACGCCAUUGUGAACAAUGUAAUAGGGAGUUCGGCUUCUAAUCGUCUCGCAAAGAGACAAUCUCUGACAUUU
rnacentral:misc_RNA from 1 species